UACGUAGGGGGCAAGCGUUGUCCGGAAUGAUUGGGCGUAAAGGGCGCGUAGGCGGCUGUGCAAGUCAGUAGUGGAAGCCCAGCUUUUAAGGUUGGAAGUGCUAUUGAAACUGUGCAGCUUGAGUGCAGGAGAGGUUAUCGGAAUUCCUGGUGGAGCGGUAAAAUGCGCAGAGAUCAGGAGGAACACCGGUGGCGAAGGCAGGUCUCUGGGCCACUACUGACGCUGAGGAGCGAAAGCAUGGGUAGCGAACAGGAUUA
rnacentral:rRNA from 1 species